rnacentral:rRNA from 1 species
GAUGAACGCUAGCUACAGGCUUAACACAUGCAAGUCGAGGGGCAGCGGGAUUGAAGCUUGCUUCAAUUGCCGGCGACCGGCGCACGGGUGAGUAGCGCGUAUCCAACCUUCCGUACACUCAGGGAUAGCCUUUCGAAAGAAAGAUUAAUACCUGAUGGUAUCUUAAGCACACAUGUAAUUAAGAUUAAAGAUUUAUCGGUGUACGAUGGGGAUGCGUUCCAUUAGGUAGUAGGCGGGGUAACGGCCCACCUAGCCAACGAUGGAUAGGGGGUUCUGAGAGGAAGGUCCCCCACAUUGGAACUGAGACACGGUCCAAACUCCUACGGGAGGCAGCAGUGAGGAAUAUUGGUCAAUGGACGAGAGUCUGAACCAGCCAAGUAGCGUGAAGGAUGAAGGUCCUACGGAUUGUAAACUUCUUUUAUAAGGGAAUAAACCCUCCCACGUGUGGGAGCUUGUAUGUACCUUAUGAAUAAGCAUCGGCUAACUCCGUG